rnacentral:rRNA from 1 species
AAUAUUGGACAAUGGGCGAAAGCCUGAUCCAGCCAUGCCGCGUGUGUGAAGAAGGUCANCGGUUUNUNAAGCACAUUAAGUUGGGNGGAAGGGCAGUAAGUUAAUACCUUGCUGUUUUGACGUUACCGAUAGAAUAAUCACCGGCUAACUUCGUUCCAGCCGCCGCGGUAGUACGAAGGGUGCAAGCGUUAAUCGGAAUUACUGGGCGUAAAGCGCGCGUAGGUGGUUCGUUAAGUUGGAUGUAAAAGCCCCGGGCUCAACCUGGGAACUGCAUCCAAAACUGGCGAGCUAGAGUACGGUAGAGGGUGGUGGAAUUUCCUGUGUAGCGGUGGAAUGCGUAGAUAUAGGAAGGAACACCAGUGGCGAAGGCGACCACCUGGACUGAUACUGACACUGAGGUGCGAAAGCGUGGGGAGCAAACAGG